rnacentral:lncRNA from 1 species
AUUUUUUUUUGUUCUAACCGGACAUUCCAAAUCGAAAUGCACACUAGUUUUUGGUGCCUACAUCUACAUUGGCUAACUUUUACUAAAAUCAUAGUGAAAAUAACAAAAAACCAUGGUCUCUAUAAACUCUUUGGUGAAGAUUUCAACUACUAAAUUACCAUGAGAUAGAUGGUCAAAAAUUGUCAAUAUUGAAUUUACAAGGAUCAUGAGAUAUUUCAACAAUUUUACUAAUGACCAGAUCCAAUGCAGUGAAUUAGACGAAACUAUGACUUCACUAGGUUGUGAAAGAAAAGCUUGUCUUGCAGUUUUGUCUGCGACCGGUCGAAAAGAGAAUGAAAAUAUGUCGAAAUCCUCUUCAAACGUGAAAUAAAUUAACUGUCAUAAGGAUAAAUUAUGUUUGUUCAACCAUACAGAAAUAUGAUGAAUAAAUAAUUUUAGACAUGUGGGCCCAUGUAAGAAGAACUCACUAAAUGAGCCCAAUACGGUUAAUGGGCUGUGACAUUGAAAAAGAGGUUGUAAUGGGCUGAUUGAUUCUAUAGUGUAGAAAUCUUGAUCGAGGGGUUAUCUUCUCCGAUUCCAAUAUUUAGAUUCUUCUUCAUAUAUUAUUGUGCUUUGAUUAGAGAGUUGCAGAAGAGUUUUUUUUGUUUUAAUUCCUGCAAUCAGAGAGUUUUCGAUAGCACAAGCACAAGCUUCUCGAUUCGUUUGAGUGUUCAAAUUUCAAGCUUUUUACAAGGGGUUCCUUAGAUUGAUCUGUUACUGUAGAGAUGGCUCCAACUCAGGAUCCCAACAGUGUCGGAGGCGGUGCGAAGAAAGAUGAAGCUACCUUGAAGGUUCCGUCUAAGGAUCCCAAGAAGAAGGACGAGAAAAAGGAUGAGGAUUUGGUAAAGUUUCUUCUUUCUCGGUUUUUUGAUUUAUCGAAUCCUUUUUCGACAUUGUGUGUCGUGUUUAGUAUCUGGGUUCAUCAGAAACGAAUUAAUUUCAAAUCUGUAAGAUCUGCAGUUAGGUUUUUAAUUGGAGUCUCGAUCGAGUUGAAGUAGGGGUGUUAUAGAAUUAGGGUUUUUAAUCUGGCAAAGUGAGUGUUUUGUUCGUCAUUAGACUAGCCGGAUUAGAAAGUUGUUAACUUGUGAUGUGAGGAAAGUUUUUUUUGUUUGUAUAUGGUCACUUUCUUAAUGACUCGACUUACAUUGGGUUGUGAUUGUAGUCUGAAGAGGACUUGGAACUAAAGCAGAACCUUGAGCUCUAUGUUGAGAGGGUUCAGGAUCCUAAUCCGGAAUUGCAGAAGGCUGCCCUUGAGAGCAUGAGGUAAUUCUUGACUUGAUCAGCUUCGGGUUUUCAGAUUAUUGCCACUGAAGCUUGUACAACUUAUAAAGCUUUUUUUCUUUCUCUCUGCUCUUGGUGUACAUGUUUAUGUUUUUAAUUAGAGUUUUAUUUGGCUUUGUAGGCAGGAAAUCCGAGCUUCAACAAGUUCCAUGACUUCAGUUCCCAAACCACUAAAGUUUCUGCGUCCCCAUUAUGGAACUCUUAAAGCGUUUCAUGAAACAAUGGCUGAUUCUGAUCUCAAAGUAUGUCAUCAUUGAUUUCAAGUCAUUAACAAUUCUUAUAUUGGUAUGGCUUAAAAAUUACAUUUGCUAUGUUUGCAGAAGUACCUGUCCGAUAUCCUGUCUGUCCUGGCCCUUACCAUGUCUGCAGAUGGUGAAAGGGUAUGCUUCUACUGACUUGGGCAUACUUUGUAUUCUGAUUUGUAUUUUUUAAGGCAUACUUUGAACUGCUAAUCACUUUCUUUUACAAUAUAAUUCCAGGAAAGCUUAAGGUUUAGAUUGAUUGGAACAGAGGGUGACAUUGGAUCGUGGGGUCAUGAAUAUGUCAGGAAUUUAGCUGGAGAGAUUGCACAAGAGUAUACAAAGCGUCAGGUUAGAAAUCAAUUUUCGAUUUUGUCUUUGGAAAUUCAGUUUCUCGUCCUAGGACUUGUGCAGAUAUUCUAAGAUUGUUGGAAGUUGUGUUUGGGUUUAUCCUUCUGAAUUCUGAUGGUUGGAGUUUUGAGGAAUGACUAAAUGUGUCUUAUUCAAUGAGAAAGGUCACUGAGUCAUAUUUAUCUACCUGUUCAUUAUCUCAGAGUGAGGAGGCCUCUAUUGACGAUUUAAUGGAGCUUGUGCAACAAAUUGUUGCUUUUCACAUGAAGGUGAAUUCCUAAACUAAUAGGGCUUGAGAUUAGCACCUCUGCGAUUUAUUUAUUUCUAAACGAUUUCAUUUACUCCUUGCAGCAUAAUGCAGAAACCGAAGCUGUUGAUCUUUUAAUGGAUGUUGAGGAUCUUGAUCUCUUACUUGAGCAUGUAGACAAAACAAAUUUCAAGAGGACAUGCAACUAUCUCACAAGUGCAGCUAGGUACUUUAAACAUAGUCAAUCCUAUUUAUUUUAUUUUUCCUCACUCUUUGUUAUUUGAACUGAUCUUGUAGAAACAAGUGGUGAGCUUUGUUUAUAUUUGCUUCCAAAAAUCUCUCUGACGUCUUAUAUAUUUGAAUUUUCAGGUACCUUCCUGGACCAGAUGACAUGUUGGUUCUAGAUAUUUCCUACAUGAUUUACAUGAAGUUUGAAGAGUAUCCAAACGCUCUGCAGAUUGCACUAUUUCUUGAUAACACGCAGGUAGGACUUUAAUCUUUCUAUAGAACGUAGUUUCAUUUCAUUCUUUCUGCGUGUGAAGCAUUUGGAAAAAUCAAUCCUCUAUGUUUUAUUUCGAGUAUUUGCGUAGACAUUUUUGAUAUUUAAUGUGCUGUAUGGUGUAUUUUCUGUAUUGCAGUAUGUUAAACAAGUAUUUACCUCAUGUACGGAUCUGCUGAAGAAGAAACAGUUCUGCUACAUGAUUGCUCGUCAUGUAAGUCCUAACUAUCUCUACUUUACUACAAUUCUAUCUCAUUCUUUCUUUUCGGUAUGUAUGUUUUGAUUUGGAUCUUUACUCCUAUAUGCUUUGAUAGUUGGUUGUGCUUUUAUUCGAUUGUAUUUUACUUUCCAGCUGUUACAUAAAGUUAGCAGAAAAAAAAUGAGAACAUAGUUUGUAGUUGUAAUUCAGCAUGAUCUAGAGGGAAUUUAAAUAUGUUUCUUGAACAUUAUUUUUAGUCCAAUUUUGUAUUGUUUUUCUGGGAAGACCUCAUUCUUUAGCGACACUGGCCUCCUCCUAUUCUCUUCUAAGGCACACACAGAUUAACUGCUGCAUCGCUGUUUAAAAUUUCCAUUCAUUUAGAGACACAAUACCCGAUUGACAUACUUUCUUAUACUUCUCCUCUCGUCGUAUGCCUCCCUGCAGGGUAUAACCUUUGAACUUGACGAUGAGAUGGUUGCAGAUGAUGAUGACCGGGAAGCCCUACAGGAUAUUGUUAACAACACUAAGUUAAGUGAAGGAUAUCUGACCCUUGCAAGGGAUAUUGAGGUCAUGGAGGCCAAAACGCCUGAAGACAUCUACAAGGUAAAUCAGUUUUAAUGUGUUAGGCUUGCUACUCAUUUAUUUAGUUACAAAUUAUGUUUCCCUCAGUCUUUGACCUGCCCUUUUUGAAUUUUAUAGGCUCACUUACUCGACGGCAGGGCUAGCUCCGGUGCAAGCGUGGAUUCUGCUAGACAGAAUUUGGCUGCUACCUUUGUCAAUGCAUUCGUAAAUGCUGGUUUUGGUCAGGUAUGGUUGCAGAUUAUAAUAAAAUAGAUCUAGUGGAAGACGUGUCCUCUUAAUAUAUUUGCUUAUCGCAGGACAAACUAAUGACAGUACCUUCAGACUCAACCACCGGAUCUUCUGGAAACUGGCUCUUCAAAAAUAAAGAACAUGGCAAGACUAGUGCAGCUGCUAGUCUGGUAUACUUUUUCUUAUUUGAUGAAUUUAUUUACUGUGCUCAGAUCAUGGAAGUAAGAAUUGUAACCAGAUCUUUUUGUUUCCCUAUCAUAUAGGGUAUGAUUCAACUGUGGGAUGUGGACUCUGGACUUUCCCAACUCGACAAAUAUUUCCAUAGUAAUGAUAAUCCUAUCAUUGCUGGAGCACUGCUGGGAGUUGGGAUUGUAAAUUGUGGCAUUAAGAACGAUUGUGAUCCUGUGAGUUGCUGUCGUGUUUGAUUUUGCUGGGACCAUUUGUGCUAAUAUUUGCAGCCACUCUUCCAUCUUACUCAGCCUUAUUUCUCAGGCAUUGGCACUUCUUGGAGACUAUAUAGACAAAGAGGAUUCAUCUGUCAGAAUCGGUGCUAUCAUGGGUCUUGGAAUUUCAUACGCAGGUUCCCAAAAUGACCAGGUACUUGUUAUAUUCUUUCCCAUAUUACUACUUGAAUGUUUCGGGUGUUCACAAAACUUUAACACGUACACUGUUUCAACAGAUUCGAAACAAAUUGUCCCCGAUACUGAAUGAUGCAAAAGCGCCUCUUGAUGUGAUUGCAUUUGCUUCACUUUCUUUGGGAAUGAUAUAUGUUGGUUCCUGUAACGAAGAAGUAGCCCAGUCUAUUAUAUUUGCUUUGAUGGAUCGAAGUGAGGCAGAACUGGGUGAUGCCCUCACUCGUUUCUUGCCACUUGGUCUUGGACUUCUAUACCUGGGCAAACAGGUUAGCAAUGUGUUUUACAUAAUCUCGCUCUUUGUUCGUAUAUCAUUAUUUGCAUUGCUUGACCAACAUCAACUUGUUCCAAUAUCUACCAGGAAAGUGUAGAGGCUACAGCUGAAGUUUCGAAGACCUUCAAUGAGAAGAUUAGAAAGUAUUGUGAUAUGACACUUCUUUCUUGUGCUUAUGCUGGAACUGGAAAUGUCCUAAAGGUAUCUAAUCAAUUGUGCUGGUGGUUGAGUGACAUAAUUCAUUACUUGUUUAGUUGUUGACUCCUACUUAUAUUUUCAGGUACAAGACCUUCUUGCUCAGUGUGGCGAGCAUCUUGAGAAAGGUGACAUCCACCAGGGUCCAGCUGUGCUUGGGUUAGCAAUGGUUGCUAUGUCUGAAGAACUGGGAGUUGAUAUGGAGAUCCGUUCUCUGGAGCGGAUGCUACAAUACGGAGAACAAAACAUUCGGCGUGCUGUGCCUUUGGCCCUUGGUCUCCUUUGUAUAUCCAAUCCAAAGGUAAAUACUUUUGUAAAUGUAGUUUUACUGCACCUGCUUACAAUUAUUAGUGGGCGUCUAGAGUAAUACUGGGUUUUUAAUAUUUUUCCCACAAUUCCAGGUGACUGUAAUGGACACCUUGAGCCGGCUUAGCCAUGACACAGAUUCGGAAGUUGCCAUGGUUAGCAAUCAUUUCGCUUCAUAGCCUGUCCCAUAUUAUUUAGCUGAAUAGUAUUGAGAGAGGACUGAUCUUUCUUUUGACUCGUACAGUCAGCAAUUAUAUCAUUGGGACUGAUUGGCGCUGGAACUAAUAACGCAAGGAUAGCCGGGAUGCUUCGGAACCUCUCCAGCUAUUAUUACAAAGACAUGAGUCUUCUCUUCUGUGUAAUGUGUUCCUCAUUUUGGUUUCUGUACCCUGCGGUAAGCUGUUGUUCUUGUUGGAAUUAUUGUAACUAACUUGGUAAGUCAUUAUGCAGGUGCGUAUUGCUCAAGGGCUUGUGCACAUGGGAAAGGGUCUCUUGACACUCAGCCCCUUCCACUCUGAACGGUUCUUGCUAUCGCCGUAAGUUCAUUCUUUUUGUCACCAAUAGAACCAAAUCUUUUUUGAUAGUUGGAUGUUCAAAGGUUUCUCAUGCGGACCUUAUUUAUGCAGAACCGCACUUGCUGGUAUAGUGACACUUUUGCAUGCAUGCCUUGACAUGAAACCAAUCAUACUCGGGAAGUACCAUUAUGUGCUGUACUUCCUCGUUUUGGCGAUGCAAGUGAGUUCAACUUCUGUCCUGUGUUUCUCCCUCUUGUUAGUUAGGUCUGAUGAACUUGCUAUGAUUUGAUAUUUAAUCAAAUUUUGUUAAAAAAAUGUAUAGCCAAGGAUGAUGUUGACAGUGGAUGAAAACCUGAAGCCACUGUCAGUGCCAGUGCGGGUAGGACAAGCAGUUGAUGUGGUUGGGCAAGCGGGUCGGCCCAAGACCAUAACCGGUUUCCAGACACACUCCACACCUGUUCUCCUGGCUGCUGGAGAGAGAGCCGAACUAGCCACGGACAAGUAUGUUAUUCUUUUUCCUUUCUUCCUUGUACCCUUUAUGUUGCCUACUUAGGUGUCUGAUUAUAAAACUCGGAUUUGUAACUGGCAAACAGAUACAUUCCUCUGUCGCCAAUACUAGAAGGAUUCAUCAUCUUAAAGGAGAACCCAGACUACAGAGAGGAGUGAAGAGAGAGAGCUUCUGCUUCCAGCCAGUUGUCACUAGUUUUACUAUUUCGUCUAUUAUCUCAUGGUUUUUCUACUCUCCGUUUAAGCUUUGUUUCAUUAUCUUGGGAUCUUUGUAUGACCUGACGCUUUUAGUUAUAUAAACUUUAGUCUCUUUUUUUUUUUUUUUUUUUUAAUCGCCACCAAGUCGACACAUAUUCUUGCCAAAACCAAUAUUGACUCAGUUUAAAAAAUAACGAUCCAUAAAAUUUUCCAAUUACUUUGAUCACAUAAAAAAAGUGAAGAAAUGUUAGCCACUUGCAUAGUGCCGUUCAAAGACGCACAAAUGAAAUUGGGCUUUCCUUUGGCCCAAAAGUGUUGCGAUCGCGUUUAUAACAAAAGACUAAGGUUUCGUCCAAACUAAGAUCGCGUUUAUAGGGUUUAUCAUCAUUUCCCGUAAUCGUAAUCGGAGUUCAGGCUUCAGCAUUCUCUCUUCUUCUCUCUCGCAGCCGUAGUUUUUGAUCUUCUCUUCAAUUCUCUCUCCUGAUGGCCACGUCCGCCGUCCUCUCCGGUGCCAGAUCGAUGCUUCGAGCUGCUUCCUCACGCAGCGCCGCUGCUUCUACUGGCCGCUUCGCCUCUCAAGCGAAAUCCGCUCCACCAUUGUUUAGAGCCACUGCCAGAAGAAGCCCACUGCUUUCUCCUCUCCGGUUAGUCUCUCUCAUACCCAUUUCCUUAUUUGAGCUCAUUUCACAGUUUUGUGCUACUUGAAGCUUGAAAUGGGUUAAAUUCGAUCGAAUUGUGAAAAAAAAGAAGGAACUUCUCUAUGUAAAAAUUACAUUUUUGCGUUAAUCAUGUUUCCAGAUCGAUUAUUCACAAGUAAAAAAGAUGAAAUUUUGCAUUUUGAUGUUGAUUUUAAAUGUGAAACUCUCUUAUCACAUUACUUAAAAGAAUUUGCAUUUUUGUUUGUUUUUGAUGUGAAUAGAAAUCCUGUGGAACUGAGCUUCUGUGUGGAGUCAUUGUUACCAUAUCACUCGGCUACAGCUUCAGCGCUAAUGACUUCAAAGCUUUCUAUCUCUGGCCAAACCUAUGGCUGGCUCUCUGACGGUACUUUCUCACAUCCUUCAAUUUUGUAAUGCUUGAAUAAUGGCUUAAAUAUGUACUAAAUAUUGAGUGGAGAUAUGCUUUGUUUGAUUGAUGAAAUGUGUUUGAGAGCUGUUUCUGUAUUGGCUUUCUAGAUUGUUGUAUUAGACAUAGGUAGAGAACUAGUUUAGAUUUUGCCAUUUAAGAAGCUUUCUCGAUCAGUGUAGAUUCUUUUUGGUUGUUGCUAUGGCGAAAAACUGGAUCAGUUGUUGUUGUCUUUCUGCUUAACGUUGUAAAGAGAUAGCGGCUCAAUUGGUCUAGUUUUUCGAUCUUGUAGGCUGACACAAGUGUAGAUGGAGACAACGAAGCCAAGAUCUGGGUUUUCAUGCAAAUAAUAUAAACGAUUAGAACGGGUUUCAGGCAAUAAGAUAGGCUUUAGAUACACAUCAAGCAAUGGUUGAUGCUGCAUUGUGUUUUAAAAGAACUGGUUCUUACAUAUCUUCUUAAAAAAAAUACAUGUACCCGGAAACGUGUCUUCUUUUCUUGUUGGUUAUAGCAUUUGAGUUAUUACUGAUUGGUCUUAUACUCCCAGCUUGCAAUGAUGAUGUGUGAUGAGUUAGCCAGAGGAACAAUGAAGCUACAGUUUAUGUACAAAACCUCUACCUUUUAAAGCCUUCUUCUUUAGAAAAACUUAGGAACGAAAACCCUCUUAAUUUUGUUUCUGAGUUUCUUGGAGAGCUUUUCUUUGUUUUCAGCCUAUUAAGUAAGACAUGUUGUAUUGGUUGGACGAGUAACUGAUGUUUGGUAUAAUUUAUCAGCUUGCAAAGAGGACUUUUGAUGAUGUCUACGCGUACCCAAUGCGAGAUUGUUGAUUGCGAGAGAAGGUUUAAGAGUAUUUAGGCAAAGAAUAAUUGUUGUACUGUUCAAACACAAAUCAUCUCUUUGUCUUUAGUUUUCAUAUCAAAGACAAAUGUCCAAUAUCUUUUGAAUCAAAUCUCUAUGAUUUCUAUUACAUCAACAUACAAACUCAACAAAAUUGCAUCACUUCUACUAAUUUAAAACUUGGAAACAUCCAUGAGUUUGAAUACUAUAAAUUAUAAUCAAGAUUCUACCAAAUAUAUAUAUAUAUAUAUAUAUAUAUAUAUAUAUAUAUAUAUAUAUAUAUAUAUAUAUAUAUAUAUAUAUAAUCAAGAAUCUCAUCAAAAUAAGUAGGGAAAAAGUAGCAGAUUUGGCAAUCAAAUUGGCACAUUAACUUGUCGACCCUUAAACUUGAAAGAAGGUUUCAAGUUUCUUCUUCUUGUCCCUUGGAUCUUAUGAAACAUUGUAUUCUCUGCCAAAGAUUCACGACUUGAAUGGGCAGCUUUGUUAAAGGAUCUCUUUGUCAUUAAUUUUUCAUAUUAAAAAAACAGAUCCUUUCGAGAUAUAGAAUUACAUCUCUGUUGAAUGUGGAUUGAUACAAAGUACAAACACUACAGUUUCUUUGAUCCUUAAGUUUCUGCAACCACCACCACUAAAGCUCGCUCUUCUGAUGGCUGUGUCUGUUCUUCUUCUUGUGGAACUGUUUCUUCUUCUUGUGGAACUGUUUCUUCUUCCUGCGGGAGUGUUUCUUCUUCUUGCUCAUUCUCAACAGGCUCAACUUCCUCGGGAGUUAGCUGUAGAUUUUGUCUCCUAUACCGAAAUAUCACCAGGAUGAUAAAAACUGCAGAACAUGAAAGACGUAUACGUUAUAUUUUGAUACAAGGCAAACCAAAUACUCUGUCAACCAUUGGUUAGGUAAAUUACCUGCAAAUAUUCGGGUUCUUAUGCUCGUCAAGUUCCAAAACGCUGUCACCGCAGAGCCAGCCAAGAUCUUCUUGUGUGAGCAGACUCCCCAUGCUUCACCUAUUCUCGUUUUCACUCUUUCAACUGCACAAAUGAAACUCAAACCAGUUCAAGAAUUUAAACCAUUGGACCAGUUAAAGACAUCUACAAACACUUGACUAUUGAUUCUAACACAAUUGACAAUAUGUGAAUGGGUGCAAUUCAUUAUUCUUCACCUUUUUGGCUAAUCUGAUGCGUGUAACAUGAAUACAGCUUUGGGAUGGUGAAACUGAGGAAGAAACCUGUUUCAGUAACCAUACACACAUAUCAUCAUCACAAUUCCUAUCAUGCUUAACAAUGUUUCAGCUUAUGUUCCAAAUGUUAAUUACCAAAUGCAGAUAGCCUCCACAGUGUUAUGAGAUGACCAUACUCAGCUCCAAGUAGCAGAAAUGGUGUCACCUGUGACAAAAAGAAAAUCAGCAGAUGAAAGGGCAAGUAAACCACCAACACAUAGCAAUCACCAAAACUGAUUUGAUUUUGUUUACUUUGAGUGUCAUUGAUGGUUCUCCUGAAAAAAGCUCACUAGUCUUCGAGAUAAAAAAGUUGGUUGCAGGAAGCACUCGUCUAGCUGAGCGCAAGACAUCAUCUUCACUCACAUGGAACGCUCUCUUUGUGUCUUCAUUUUUCCUAAAAGUAACAACACAUUGAAGGAUCACACUAACUAUUAGCUUAUGGAGAAUGCCAAACAAAAGAGACCACAGAAGUAAAUGUACCUUUGACAAAGAGUGUUUGACAAGAAGGACCCGCAAAGUAACACAAGUCCGAGAUUGGAAACCGCCGAGAAAACGCUUCAAAACAAAGAAAAAGGUCAUGACUUUCACAAAUCUAAUUGAGCCUACAAACACAAGCUAGAUAUUUGGUACCUAAAGUUGACUCCUUUGGCAAAGCAAGAAGAUAGGAAAGACAAACAUCCAAAACCAAACCAGAGAGUCGAUUUCGCAACAUCUCUCCACAUUACCAAAUCACUUAUAAUCUCUCCAAUCAGAUUCAAAUCGCUCUGACAUGUAUCUUCACCAAACCCAACACACAAGCAAAUCAGAAUUAAGCAGAGAAACACAUAAAGCAGAUAAUAAGAGAAAGAAGAGUACUUGGAAGAUCUGAGGAAGAACAAAGAGGAGGAGCUGAACUUUGCUUAUCCUUCUUAGGUCGACCAUUAGUCUUCCGCUUUCUAGGAGGAAGCUUUACGAUUUCUUCGAUAACCAAAUUAGCUUCUUUCUCUUCCACAGCUUCAGAUCUUCGCCUCGAUCUCCGGGGAUUCCUCGGAGAUGCUAAAAGACUCUUUUGCCCUCCUUUCCCUUUGCCCCGUUUCCGAACCACCGCCAUAGCAUCUUCAGAAGUCAUUUCGAGUCGAUCGGAUAAACGGGUCCUCGAUUUUCGAAGUGGAGAAGGAGGUAAGAGGAGGAUAUCGCGAAGAGGAACAGGUGAUGAUGGGUUUGGAGUAUUGGGAGACGACAGAACCAAAUCAAGAGAGAGAUUUGGAGGAUUCGAAGAAUCUUGGAGACGCGAAGCUGAUUUAGUGUUGGAUCGGUGAUAAGGAGGCGUAGACUCCAUUAUUAUGAAAAGGGCAAAAUCUCAGAGAAUUGAAUUUAAGAAUCUCAGAGAAUUGAAUUGAGAAUCUCAAACAAGUAAUAAGGUUUUUCCUUUUCCGCAUCCAAGAAGAAGACAGAGAUGUCUGAUCAGAUAUAGCCGUUGGAGGAAUUUUUGUUUUUCCUUAAAAAAGAUUCCAUUUGAAUCUUGACGGUCGUAGCAAACGUCGCUCCGUCUCUCUUUAACGGCGUAAAACUUAUGGGAGUUUUUUUUUUUUUUUUUAACGUCUUAUUUAUUAAACUUAAAAAGAGAUUACAAAUAUACCAAUAAGCAUAUAAGUGAGAGCUCUACAAUCCAUACAACCAAUACUUAAGUUGAACGAAAUAAUCGAAAAAGUGAAAUUACACAUUGCUUCCUUUCGUAGGUAAGCCUUACACGCUAACAGGGUUAUCAAUCUGUUAUUUUCCUUGAUCGUCUUCGUCUUCGGUCUAAUUUGAUCUUCUUGUUUGGCUAUCAUCUCUUUAAUGAAACUCCAACACACUUUUCGAAAAUCAAAAGGUUGCGAUCCAUCAGUUACAUCGCUAACCAUAUAAUUAUUUCCAUCACCCGCGUGAGACAAUGACAUUGUUUUGGUUGUAAAUGUUGCCCAUGAUAAAUCCAUGAUCUCGAUUCUCUUGUUGACGUUCUUCAAAGACCAGAAAUACAAGGUUCUUAUGAUUUGAUUCCAUGGUGGUUUCCAAGGUGGUCGCCGUUUCCACAACAAAUCUAUGAAGAUUUGUUUCAAACAUCGGAAAGCCACCAAACGAUCGCGAUGACCACCGGAAACUAACACAAAACUAACAAUACAUGUUAGAGUUGACAUAUAAUCGACAAAUUAUGUCGGAACAAAUACGGCGUAGCCGUCGGAAAUUGCAUUUCGGUAAGAAACCCAACACAUCCAAAGGCUCAUGUUCACAUCCAUAGAUCUUCCACCAUGUAUGUUGAACAGAAACACUUGGAAUCUAUACAUAACUGAUUUUUCUUACAGAUCUAAAAGUGAAUUAAAACUACAAAUAAGAAGAAGAAGUUUGGAUUUAGAAAUCCAGAAUUGAGAGCAAAUACUUUAUUUAGAUUAAAACAAAAAGCAAAAUCAAACUAAAGAGAAGAAAUGGAACCGCCGACAAGUGCCGGCGGCCCUAAACCAAUCGGAAAAGAUGGAGGCCAAAGAAGAGAAACGGUUACUGGUUCGCUUGUCCAAUCGCCAACGAAGCAUAAUUCUAUGGGAGUGUUUAUUUUUGCCAAUUUCAAGCAAUAUACUAGUAUGUUUUUUUUUUUAUCAUCCGAUUUUAAUUAGAGUUCAAAAAAGUAGAACUAAG